GGCGGUUCUCAGGUGACGCGCCCCUGCACCCCGGAAUCGGGCUCCCUCCUGUUUGGUUCUGGGUGCAUCACCCAAGAACCAUA
rfam:Myotis brandtii contig275482, whole genome shotgun sequence.